rnacentral:rRNA from 1 species
UACGUAGGGGGCAAGCGUUGUCCGGAUUUAUUGGGCGUAAAGAGCGUGUAGGCGGCUUUACAGGUCCGUUGUGAAAACUCGAGGCUCAACCUCGAGACGCCGGUGGAAACCGUAAAGCUAGAGUCCGGAAGAGGAGAGUGGAAUUCCUGGUGUAGCGGUGAAAUGCGCAGAUAUCUGGAGGAACACCGGUGGCGAAGGCGGCAUCCUGGACCAACACUGACGCUGAGUGAGCGAAAGCCAGGGGAGCAAACGGG